rnacentral:rRNA from 1 species
CAGCACCUCAAGUGGUCAGGAUGAUUAUGGGCCUAAAGCAUCCGUAGCCGGCGCUGUAAGUUUUCGGUUAAAUCUGUACGCUCAACGUACAGGCUGCCGGGAAUACUGCAGCGCUAGGGAGUGGGAGAGGUAGACGGUACUCGGUAGGAAGGGGUAAAAUCCUUUGAUCUAUUGAUGACCACCUGUGGCGAAGGCGGUCUACCAGAACACGUCCGACGGUGAGGGAUGAAAGCUGGGGGAGCAAACCGGAUUAGAUACCCGUGUAGUCC